CAAAUAUGAAGGCGGGCUGGAACCUCUCGGGGUUACAGCCUUGCUGAAUUAUUCACCCUUGUCUUUUGCGUACUUCUUGUUUCCUUGGUGGGUUCGCCCACCACUAGGACAAACAUAAACCUUUUGUAAUUGCAAUCAGCGUCAGUAACAAAUUAAUAAUUACAACUUUCAACAACGGAUCUCUUGGUUCUGGCAUCGAUGAAGAACGCAGCGAAAUGCGAUAAGUAGUGUGAAUUGCAGAAUUCAGUGAAUCAUCGAAUCUUUGAACGCACAUUGCGCCCUUUGGUAUUCCAAAGGGCAUGCCUGUUCGAGCGUCAUUUGUACCCUCAAGCUUUGCUUGGUGUUGGGCGUCUUGUCUCUAGCUUUGCUGGAGACUCGCCUUAAAGUAAUUGGCAGCCGGCCUACUGGUUUCGGAGCGCAGCACAAGUCGCACUCUCUAUCAGCAAAGGUCUAGCAUCCAUUAAGCCUUUUUUUCAACUUUUGACCUCGGAUCAGGUAGGGAUACCCGCUGAACUUAAGC
rnacentral:rRNA from 1 species